rnacentral:rRNA from 1 species
GACGAACGCUGGCGGCGUGCCUAAUACAUGCAAGUCGAGGGGACUAAUGGGAGCUUGCUCCCGUUAGUUAGCGGCGGACGGGUGAGUAACACGUGGGCAACCUACCCGUAAGACUGGGAUAACUUCGGGAAACCGGAGCUAAUACCGGAUGACAUAAAGGAACUCCUGUUCCUUUAUUGAAAGAUGGCUUCGGCUAUCACAUACAGAUGGGCCCGCGGCGCAUUAGCUAGUUGGUGAGGUAACGGCUCACCAAGGCGACGAUGCGUAGCCGACCUGAGAGGGUGAUCGGCCACACUGGGACUGAGACACGGCCCAGACUCCUACGGGAGGCAGCAGUAGGGAAUCUUCCGCAAUGGACGAAAGUCUGACGGAGCAACGCCGCGUGAGCGAUGAAGGCCUUCGGGUCGUAAAGCUCUGUUGUUAGGGAAGAAUAAGUGCUAGUUGAAUAAGCUGGCACCUUGACGGUACCUAACCAGAAAGCCACGGCUAACUACGUGCCAGCAGCCGCGGUAACAC